CGUUUGAUUGUCGUUCACAAAUGAUUUUUCCAUUUUUGGGUCUUCGUCCGUUUUCCCCAGUUUCAAUGUUUUGAUACCCUUUUUUUCUGUUCUGAAAAUUGUCUCUGCUGCCUGCUCGGUGGGUUUGGGUCCGUGGGUGUGUUUUCUUUUUGUUCUGUUUUGGCAAAUGAGUUCAGAUUUUUGUUUUUUCGAAGGUGGGCUUUGAUUUUCAGUUGGGAUUCUGUUUAUGGCUGGAAAUGGUAUCUACACUGCCAGAAUAUACUGAAUCACUUCGUGGGUUCAAAUGUUUCACUUAGACAGUUCUGAAAAAAUUUCUCCCUUUUACUCUUUUAUAAUUUCAUCUAUCUGGGUAGAUGGGAAAAGUUCCAUUACGGAUAUUUAAAGGAACUGAGAAGUGUAAGCAACUCUUCCUAGCUGUAGUUUAGAAUACAAAAAGGAAAAAUUCCUUUUAAAGGUUUGAGUUUGGAUACUGGGAAAGUGACUGGAAUGAAAAGCUAAUGUUGAGCUUAUUCCGUUUGGUGUAUGAAAAGCUCGGAGAAAAAGUAGCUGAUUCUUGAAUUUUGGGUUGAGAGCUGAAGUUUCAUCACCUGGAUUUAGAAAAACUUUUUCAUCUCUUUCUCGUCCUUGGAAGGAGCUUCGGAUCUCGACGGCAGUGGGUAGUGGACGACUGGGAAGCAGCUUCGGAUCUCGACGGCGGGCGGGCUGGAGCUAUGGACAGUGGUCCAUUCUCUCUUUCCCUACUCCUUUAAGUAUAUCUCUCUUUAGAUCUAAUUGGUUUCCUCCCUUGUUUAUUCUCAUCUGUGUAUAUAUACGUAUUAGUUUAUAUAUGUUUGAUUUUUCUUUUUUUGGUCAAAACAAUGGUGGUGUUCUGGAUAUUUGUUCUCAUUUCAAAUCUGUCUCUCUCUGAAAUUUGCACAAGGAAAAGAAAAUAGUACUGAGAUUAGGGUGUUAUAAUUUUUGUUUGCUUAAUUAGAUUUAAGUUUUCCCUAGCCCAAAAAAAAAAGAGAUUUUAAGUUUUUGUUGACGAUUUGGUUAGCAGAUGCAAUAGACGGGGUUCGGAGUGUGGCUGGAAGAAAAAGACGAGGUGAGGAGGGGGUCGGGCUAGAGGAAGAAGACGAAGAAGAAUAAGAAGAAAAAUGAAAAAAAGAAAAACAACAAAUAAAAUAAAAUAAAUUAUAAAUUUAAAAUA